rnacentral:rRNA from 1 species
UGCUCCAAUAGCGUAUAUUAAAGUUGCUGCAGUUAAAAAGCUCGUAGUUGGAUUUGUGGCGCGGCCGUCCGGCGGGGGUCCUUCUAUGGUCUCGUUUGUCCUGGUUUUCGGCCGCUCCUUUCUCGGGUAGAGCGUAAUGGCUGGCAUUAGGUUGUCGGCCGCUUCGCGCCCGUCGUUUACUGUGAAAAAAUUAGAGUGUUCAAAGCAGGCUUAGGCCGUUGGAUACAUUAGCAUGGAAUAAUGAGAUAGGGCCACGGCGGUCUAUUUUGUUGGUUUGCACGUUGUGGUAAUGAUUAACAGGAACGGUUGGGGGUAUUCGUAUUCAAUUGUCAGAGGUGAAAUUCUUGGAUUUGUGGAAGACGAACUACUGCGAAAGCAUUUACCAAGGAUGUUUUCAUUA